AUGAGACUGUGGUGCAGGGCCCCUGUGGUCAGGUCAGCGUGGGGCUUGUUUUCCACUGCAGCUGGGAGCAGCCUUCGACACCUGCCCUGCUGUGGCCUCCCAGCUGGUGCGGGAGCCCCUCGCUGCCCUGACCGACUCCGCAGACCCUGGGAGGAGCAUGGAUGGUGCGUCGGCAGCUCCGUCCUUCCAGCUGUCCUGUUGCAGUUGCCCGUGACCCGUGUCUGCCUUAGCAGGGGCUUGUGCAAGUGUGCGCGGUGUGGGAGGCCGCCUGCGUGGGGUGGUGUCUGUGUGUGUGCACGUGUGUGUGUGCAGGCCCGUCUGCCAUCACAGCACCAGGGCUGAGGGGGCAGGUGUUCACCGGAGGAGGGCCUGUGGGCACGUGUGGCAGAGAGAGUGGCUCAUACGUCGUGAGGUCUCCCGUGUGCUCUGGUGACCCGAGGAGGUCGUGCAGCACAGCACAGAAGCCCCACCCACGGGAGCCAGCCCCCCAGACACCGACCCCGCAGGCCAUCCUGGACCUCAGCGGACACGGACAGGAGCGUCCCAUCAUUUGAUGGUGAGCAGGACUCAGGCUCUGUGUCCUGGAGCUGCUUCUCACCAGCUGUGGUCAGUGCAGGGGGAACGAGGAGGUCUUUUGGGGGCCUAGAGGGGAAGGGCCGCUGCAGUCUAGGGAGAGGGGGUGCAGCCUGGGGGACGUUGGUAGAUGUGGACGUGGAGGUGGGAGGGAGAGGACGUUGCAUUGGGUGGUUGGGAGGAGGUGGGAGCCGUGUGCGAGAGCUGGUGGAAAGGCUUGAGGGGCAGGACCAGGAUGCGGCUGGCUUAUACAAGAGCUCAGGAGUGAGGCUGGCACUCCGGAGGGCGUGGUGGGCGGGGAGGCGGCAGGCACCAGGCCAGGAGAGCCUCGUGGAUGUGGCUCCCACGUGCACACCCCCAGGAGCACAGCCACGAGCUGCAGGUGUGGCCUUGGCACUCAGUCCUCGCCCGGAGCCUUCGCCUGUUCCUCCUUCCCCGAGCACCGAGGCACUGGUGGGCUUGGCACUCCACCUUGGGCUUCCUUUUCCUGGAGUGCCACCUUGAGGGUCCCUGCUGUGACUGGGGUAUCUGCAGCGGGGGUCGUAGAGCCCCUGCCUGGGGGAGCUGGCGGAAUGUGAGCCACUGGCCGGGGGCCGCCACCUAGGACAUGCAAGGUGGUGCCUCGGCUCCCUCUCGGCUGCCCCUGCCCAUCCAGUAACACCCCCACCGGCUACAGAGCCCAGGCUGGUGCCAGCCACGCUGGGAGGGCGGAGGACAGACAGCCCCGGGGCGGCGACUUGGUUCUGUGUCUACUGUUAGAAGUGAGUGGGAAGCUGCAGGCCCGCCAGGACCACUGGGUCCCUGUGGAGCAAAGGCCUGCGAGUUCCCAAACAGCCGUUGCCCCAGUGGCCAUGGUAGGUAAUCCAUAUUGGAUGUCAUAAGGACCAGGGGGAUAUUUAAAGAGAGAAACAAACUAUAUAGAGAUAUAAAGUUAUAUUCACAGUUUAUCUACAGAUUUUUCGUAACAAUCUUUCUUUUCCAGUUUGAUACUGUAAAUCUAUCAGAGCAGAGCUUGGGGGCACGGGCACAGCUGGGAGUUGGGAGCAAACCAGAGGCCCGGGCUGCCCACCGUCCCCCUCACCACGGACUGCACCAGGCUGCUGGGCCCCCACAGGACAGGCUGCAGCGGGUGGCCGGUUCUGUCCCAUUUUGGGGUUCUUGGUGUCCACGUCUUGUGGGCCGUGGGCGACCACCUGCCCUCGGCCUGUGGUGCUUUGCCGGAGAGGGGACUCCCCGGCCCCCAGGGUGGACGGAGCCGCUGUCACCGCCCAGAGCCGGGCCGGGGAAGCACGGCGCGUUCUGCUUUUCUUUUCGGAUCGUUGAAAUUUCAUUGUCAUGAUUUAAUAUAUGGAUUUUUUUAUUUAAGAAAAAGACGAAGGCCUCUUUGCCGCGUGGGUUUGUUUUCUGUCUCUGUGCCUCUGGCUUCCCAAAGAGAUCCAGGUCUUUGCGUUUCCAGGGCGUGGGGACCCCUGCCCCCCACGCCCCCACACCGCCUCACCCUGGCCUCUGUGCUACUUGGCAGUUCCAUUUCAAUAUUUAUUUUUGUGCUGCUUUUUAUCAUGAUAUAAAUUAUUGAGAACAGAUCACAUGUGGGCCCGUGUCUGGCCGCCGCCGCCCUGCCCCGUCCCUGCGGCCACCACCUAAUUUAUUGCCGUGCGUCCUGCUGCUGUGACCGCUUUUGUACCUUUGCAAUAAAGAAUUUUCUGGUUUCAGACUC